UACGAAGGGAGCUAGCGUUGUUCGGAAUUACUGGGCGUAAAGGGCGCGUAGGCGGCCUUCUCAGUCAGACGUGAAAUCCCCGGGCUUAACUCGGGAACUGCGUCUGAUACUGGAAGGCUGGAGUUCGGGAGAGGGAUGUGGAAUUCCAGGUGUAGUGGUGAAAUGCGCAGAUAUCAGGAAGAACACCGACGGCGAAGGCAGCUCGCUGGGACGGUACUGACGCUGAGGCGCGAAAGCGUGGGGAGCGAACAGG
rnacentral:rRNA from 1 species